GUAGGUGUGGUUAACUCAACUUUUAUAAAGAAUAUCUCUUUGGUUUUGAGACUUUAGUGUUUGCAACUUUACAGAUCUUCUUUAUGCACCAAGAGCUUGUAACACUCCAAAGAGAAAGGAAAAAUUGAAAUUGCAUCAUAUGACCCCUUUAAGCCUUCUUUUGUUCCGCAGACAUUUUCCUCUUUUGUUUUUUUAUCCGCCAUCUCAAUCUUUCUGUCGCUCGGCUCGGCUAAUGUCUGUCCUGUGCUGUGCACUGAACGCUCUCUCCUCCACAUCAUGAUUAGACACGCCCCUUACUGCUGAUUGGCUACAAGUUUGUUUUGCUAUUCGGACCAAAUUAGUUUUCUAAAAGCGUUUUUGAAAAAUCGCUUACCCCACCUUUAACUGACGUCAUCUCUCGUGAGUGUGCAUGAUUUGAAACAUAUCUCUUUGUGUACAACUUUUGUAAUGAGGAAAGAAAUUGCUAAGUUGCACCUUUUAAAUGUAAAUACCUUUUAAAAUUAAACUUGUCUACGUACCAGCGCUAUUUGGAGUUGGAUGACCAGUUUGAGCAAGAGAGAAGGGCAAUGCGUGCAAGAGAAAAGGAGAGAGAAAGGAGAGAAAGAGAACUGGAGAGAAAAGCCAGGGAACAAGCUGAUCAAUUGAUGGCUUUGGAGGAGCAGAAAGCAAAUCUGACACGAGAGCUAAACUCCAUUAAACACACACAUAACAAGUUAGUACUGACACAUCGAGAUCUGCUGGAAAAGAAAAAGGAGUGGGAGAGCGAAGCCUUCACUUUCAGGAAUCAUGUGCACAGCAAACAUUCAGAAGCUGUUUCUACGCACGGUCAAACAGAAACCUCCAGCACUGAAGAGCAUGAUCCAAAAGCUGGCAGUGCCCCUGAUUCCACUGCGUCAGAAAUUACCGUUACCAAUAACAGCAAAGUGACUGAUGCUGAAGUUAACCAUAAUAAUGAUCAGUCCUUUAUCAGUAACAUCAUAAGCUCCACCCCUGAGUUGGCUCAUUUGAAGGACUUUGUUGAAACAAGCUCCCCUGUUUGUUCAAAGACAGCCACCUCUGAAUUAAACUCCAGUUUGUUUGAUGAAAUGAAACAAGCCCAGGAGGAUAAGAGAGAGGUGGUUGAAGACCAGAAGGUGGAAGAUGGAGAAAAAACAGAGGAGGAAGACAUGGACAGUGACUCUGAUUGCUUGGAGUGGGAGUUGAGGAAUACAGACUCUGUGUUUUCAGAGUUAUCUGAACUCAGCAGGGAAUAUGUGGAAAAUGUUGACCAGGGGGCCAGUGUCAGAGAUAGCACAGGCCAGUUUGAGCAGAUUCUUUCUCAAUAUGAAGAACUAAAACACACUCAUGAAAUGGUGGAUACUGCUCGUAAGGCUCUUAUAUCCCGUGUUGAGGAGCUGACCAGUGAGAGAUCUGCCCUGAAUAUGGAACUUGAUUCUUGCCGUGAAACCAUCAGCCGACUGGAAGGAAAAACCAAGGAGAUGGAGGAUGAAAUCAAGCGGUAAUGUUGACUUACAGAUAUUCAUGUAAAACCUGGAAUUUACUUAUUUCAGUUU
ensembl:lncRNA